rnacentral:tRNA from 1 species
UUAGAAGGACAGGACUCGAACCCGCACUUAAGAACUCAAAACUCCUAGUACUUCAUUAUACUACCAUCUA